rnacentral:rRNA from 1 species
GACGAACCGUGCGAACGUUGUUCGGAAUCAUUGGGCUUAAAGGGCGCGUAGGCGGGCCGCCGAGUCCGGGGUGAAAUCCUCCAGCUUAACUGGAGAACUGCCCCGGAUACUGGAGGUCUCGAGGGGGGUAGGGGCAUGCGGAACUGUGGGUGGAGCGGUGAAAUGCGUUGAUAUCCACAGGAACUCCGGUGGCGAAGGCGGGUCUCUGGGCAGUAACUGACGCUGAGGAGCGAAAGCGUGGGUAGCGAACAGG